rnacentral:lncRNA from 1 species
AUGCGAACCAGGGACCCCGGCAGCCCUGGGGACGUGGACACGCAGGCCGCGGCCAACGCCAGCUGGUGGCUGCAUGAGGGCCGGUCACGCAGCCAGGGGGCCACUUGCUCCGGUUAUUAUUUGGCAGAACUUGUCCCUCUUUUAGUUGGCUUCUUUCUCUUCUUUCCUCCCCCGCUUCUCCUCCCCCUCCCCCUCCCUUCCCCUUCCUGGAUUCUUCUAGCGCUUCUCCACCAACCACUGCCAGUGGGCACCCGGGCUGCAGGCCGAGACGACACACUCGAGAUGCCCUCCAGGGACCAUAGGAGGGCGGGGUCCCCUCACACGGCCACUGCUGGCACUGCUGCCGGAGACCAAUCUCCCAGGUUGGCGCUGGAACUCAAUGCAGACAGACCACGGCAGAGCCCAAGCCAGGGCCUCCUGUCCCUGGACCCCAGGGACAGCUGGACCUUGGGCCUGCAAAGGGCAGAAACCACCCAUUAGAUGGGAAGAAACCCUGCUUCCCUUCCACACCUGUACCUGUCUAACUCCGGCUCCGGGGCUGCCAGACGCCUGGGUCCAGAAGCAGCAUCUGGUUUCCCAAUUGGAGCUGCUGCAGCGUCAGGUUAGCACGAUCCGCUCCCCGCAGGACCUCUGGGCCCCGGGACCCUUGUGAAGCUUAACUGGGGUCUUGGCUCUGUGCAGCCUCAGCCAGCCCCCGAGGGGAAGCCUGUCUCUGGGAGGGUGACCUUGGUCCCAUAGCCAUGGGCCCCAGUGGCGCUGGCCUGACUCCUUUCGUCCAGCAUCCAGCCAAUCCCAGUACCUCAGUUUCCCCAACCAUAAAACUCAACCGUGGGACUGGGGAGUCUUAAUGAGUGUGGGACUUUCUGGAUAAAUCAACCAGGUGCCAGAAAUAUCUGCGCUGGUGCGGAAUCUGCAGUAUGAACAGGAGAGUGAGUAUUCCAACACAGGACUGCAGCAGAAGCUCACAGGCCAGCCCUACUGCAUCCUGCCAAGUCUGCCCUUUCUCCUCUGGUCAAGGUUAUGAGCAAAGGACUUGCCUUUUCUGGGCUCCAUACUAAUCAGACAAAGGGUUUUCUCUAAAAAGAAACGUCCCUGGAACAACAUACGCUCCACACAGAGAAGGACAAAAUCUGUCUUAUUCCCCACCUCAACCCGAACGUCUGCACAGGGCUCCUUUGUGCCAAAAAAGAACUUGAACAAAUAAUCAUCCUAGGAAGAUAUUACCUUACUAUGUAAACUUGGUGCAAGAUUUCAGAAUGCCUUUCUCGUAUCUCCAUGUUCUGCUUUAAGACUUUAUAGGGCAGAAAAUACUAAGCCAUCUGGUAGACCAGUUAAUUAAACUUCAAAAAAGUCCACUUGACACAGUUGGAGGAAGACAAGCAACCAAGACUCUGGUCUCCUAAACCCAGCCCCAUCGUCUUGCUUUACAACGCACUGCUUUCUUUUGUCCACAGUUAGGGCGGGAAAAACACAGCCCAGGGCCCAAAUCCAGACCAACUUCUGAUUCUGUAAAUAAAGUUUUAUUGGAACACAGCCACUCACAUACAGCUGUGGCGCUCUUCCCGUUAGUACAGCAGAGUUGAAUAGCUCUAUAGCGAACACGUGGCCCACAAAGCCUAGCUAUUUCCUACUGGCUCACUUACCAAAGAGAGCUGGCUGCCCCUUGCUCCGCUGCAUGCCAUGCAUGUCCUGGGAUCUACUGCUACAAACAGGGUUUCUGUGGGUACACUGCUUUGGUCACAGAGCCUACCAUCAACUGCCACUCCAUGGACUCUGGCCAUGGUAAAUUCCUGCAGCUCGGCCGGUAUCACCGUAUUUAAUUCUCCUGGCAGCCCCCGUGAGGUCUGCAUUGUUGCAUGUGGAUAUAACGUGAUAACAGAAUCAGCCUGAACCACAGGAAAUUGUCUUUUUUUUUGUAGAUCCAAUACUGGCAAUUUCAUGUAAAUCCAGCAAAUGUGGUUAGCUCCAUUUUAAAGAAAGGGAACAAAGGAGAAAACAGGACCAGCUGGCCCCUUAGCUCACAGUCAGAAAGUGCUUAGAUACCAAGUAGCUAGCUGCACUAGGGCAGCUACUUGAUACAGCGCUGCUUAAAACUUUACAAUUCCCUUUGUGUAGUAAAAGUUUUGCUAAUAUCAAAGAACAGUCUGAUACUAUUUAGGAGAGCCUUCCCCAAAAUUUACUUGACCAGAAAAGUCCCUCCCCCUGUCCAAGUAGCACUAUGAAUGUUCUACCCAGGUAGGAUUCCUAGGAUGGACUGGUCUCUACUCCUCCCUUCAUUACUACAUUUCUGCAGGCUGCCUCCGGCUGCAGCUUCUACUGCUCCUGGCCAAUUCUAGACACCCUGUACCUCCUUUCAUUUUCACAAGAAAUGACCUCAACAGUCCAUGCUAAUUCCAUUUACAGGAAUAAUGAAGCUCUGUCCUGUGUGGCUUUGGAUGUUUAUUUCAAACAUUUUAACCACCCCCUAGGUCCCGUCUGUGAUGCAAAUAAACUGCAUCUUCCCUCAGAACUGCUCCUCCUGCAUCUGAGUUCUUUGGAUCUGUGUGCCUGGGUCAGUCGCCAGCUUUUGUCCUGAUUUGACACCUUUGAGACAUCAAAUCUGAGGUUUCCUUCUAUGCGGGUCAGUUAAGCAGCGUAGCAUGUUAUUCAGCUGGGUUCUUUUGUUUUGUUCUCCUACUUUUUAAAAGACACAAUAAUGGCUUGUCUAUGUAGAGUUUACAGCUCGAGAGCCCCACUUUUAUAUAUUUUCUUUGGGAAUAAGUCCUUAAUUUGUCAAAGCAUCUUUUCCUGCCUCCUCUGAAAAUAUUAACUUGAUCGGGAGCUUAGAAAUCUAUAUCAAAUGACAGACAUCUGUGCCCCAAAAUAGUAAGUCUCAAGUUUAAUAUUUUAUUACCAUAUUUUGGAACAACUGGCUAUGCAGCUGCUACUGUUAUCGUCCAAUUACUUCUCAUUUUUUCCAGAGUUUUAAAUGCAAGCUGUAACAAAUUGAAUCUAAAUUUCUAUAUGCUCUGUAAAAUUUUUUUUCAGAAAGCACAGCAAAAAAAAAAAAAAAAAAAAAAAAA